rnacentral:rRNA from 1 species
UACGUAGGGUGCAAGCGUUAAUCGGAAUUACUGGGCGUAAAGCGUGCGCAGGCGGUGAUGUAAGACAGAUGUGAAAUCCCCGGGCUCAACCUGGGAACUGCAUUUGUGACUGCAUCGCUGGAGUACGGCAGAGGGGGAUGGAAUUCCGCGUGUAGCAGUGAAAUGCGUAGAUAUGCGGAGGAACACCGAUGGCGAAGGCAAUCCCCUGGGCCUGUACUGACGCUGAGGCGCGAAAGCGUGGGUAGCAAACGGG